AUAUUACUCCCUUCGUUCGGAAUUACUUGUCUCGAAAAUUGAUGUAUCUAGACGUAUUUUAGUUCUAGAUACAUCCAUUUCCGAGACAAGUAAUUUCGAACGGAGGGAGUAUUAU
rnacentral:pre_miRNA from 1 species